ACUUUUCUCUGUUAAAAUCUGCUCCGUGUGGGUAUUGCAGCAGGCUGCAUCUUUGAAACUCUUAAUAUUAUAGGAAUUCAUAUUUAUUCAGGCCAUUGGUCUGAUUUUAUCAGUAAAGUUACUCUCAUCAAAUAAAAUAAUCGCAUGAAGAGGAACAACUUUAUGCACAGCACAGCUGCUACCACAAAUAAGAUAAUUCUACUCAUAAUGGUAUUUUCCCUCGUUAUGGCAUGUCCUCAGCCAGAAAAUACAUUUUGAUGGCAGUUGGAGAGAAGACAAUGAUACGCAAAAUCCCAGGUAACAAGACCAGGGCAGAAAUUUGAGUCUUUUGUUGGGCUGAUGGGUAAAAGGAGCUCAGAGGAACAAG